AUAGCCUCUGGCUAUAGGAAAUUGUUAGUGGCAGACGGGUGAGUAAUGCGUAGGAAUCUACCUAGUAGUACGGAAUAGCCAUUAGAAAUGGUGGGUAAUACUGUAUAAUCCCCGAGGGGGAAAGAUUUAUCGCUAUUAGAUGAGCCUACGUUAGAUUAGCUAGUUGGUGAGGUAAUGGCUUACCAAGGCUAUGAUCUAUAGCUGGUCUGAGAGGACGAUCAGCCACACUGGAACUGAGAUACGGUCCAGACUCCUACGGGAGGCAGCAGUGGGGAAUAUUGGACAAUGGGCGAAAGCCUGAUCCAGCUAUGCCGCGUGAGUGAAGAAGGCCUUCGGGUUGUAAAACUCUUUCAAUAGGGAAGAUAAUGACGG
rnacentral:rRNA from 1 species